AAACCAUGGUAGGGGCACUGUCUUAGCAAACUCUUAAAUCUACCCCAUGCUUCAAUAAUGAUUCUCUAUCUUCCUAAGAAAAAUAUGUCACGCCCCAGAGGAGUCC